rnacentral:rRNA from 1 species
GACAGAGGGUGCAAACGUUGUUCGGAAUCACUGGGCGUAAAGCGCACGUAGGCGGCUUGUUAAGUCAGGGGUGAAAUCCUGGAGCUCAACUCCAGAACUGCCUUUGAUACUGGCGAGCUUGAGUUCGGGAGAGGUGAGUGGAACUGCGAGUGUAGAGGUGAAAUUCGUAGAUAUUCGCAAGAACACCAGUGGCGAAGGCGGCUCACUGGCCCGAUACUGACGCUGAGGUGCGAAAGCGUGGGUAGCAAACAGG